rnacentral:rRNA from 1 species
GACGAACGCUGGCGGCGUGCCUAACACAUGCAAGUCGAGCGGGGGGAGUACUUCGGUACAAACCUAGCGGCGGACGGGUGAGUAACACGUGGGUAACCUGCCUCAAAGUGGGGGAUAGCCUUCCGAAAGGAAGAUUAAUACCGCAUAACCCAUAGCUUCCGCAUGGAAGCAAUGGUAAAGAUUUAUCGCUUUGAGAUGGACCCGCGGCGCAUUAGCUAGUUGGUGAGGUAACGGCUCACCAAGGCCACGAUGCGUAGCCGACCUGAAGGGGUGAGCGGCCACAUUGGAACUGAGACACGGACCAGACUCCGACUGGAGGCAGCAGUUGAGAAUAUUGCACAAUGGGCGAAGGCCGGAUGCAGCAACGCGGCGUGAGUGAUGAAGGCCUUCGGGUUGUAAAGCUCUGUCUUUUGGGACGAUAAUGACGGUACCAAAGGAGGGAGCCACGGCUAACUACGUGCCAGCCGCCGCAGUAAAAC